GGAAGUGGUUCAGUGGUAGAAUGAUUGCCUGCCAAGCGGACGACCCGGGUUCGAUUUCCAGCCA